rnacentral:lncRNA from 1 species
GUGCCAAUAGGAUGUACUGACAGAUCAGAGGUGGUCAUGAGAGAAGGAGCUAGUAGCCAGAAGAGUGAGGUGUGCACUGGCUGAGAUGCGGGAGCAGGUGGUGGUGUGUUCCUGGGAGAUGCAGCAAGAAGGCCCUCACCAGAUAUCAAGGCCUUAAACUUGGACUUCCCAGCCUCCAGAACUGUCUUAUGUAUCAACAAAAUCACACCAGACCACCCAAAGCUGGCCCUGCCAACUGACCACACACCCCCCUGCCUGAAAGGCAUGUUUCAAUGCGCAACAGAUGCCUGCCACUCAGGGGACAUCAAAUGUGCAUGAGAACUCGCUAAUCUCGAAACAGGUUCUGCAAGUUCAAAAAAACCACCCGUGGCCUGGCUCUGGGCUGAAGCUGAGUCUUGGCUUGAAAUCCCCUGCUCUAAUCUCUCUUCGAAGACUUUUCUGCAUUCAUCUGAGUCCUCAUCCUCCAAGGCAGGGCUCAGGCUCGGGCUCAGGCUCCCAGCCAUGCAUCCCUCCUGGACCAUUCCUGACUCCUUUCCAGUAUCCUUAUCACUUGUACCACAUACCUUGGCCUUUGAUCCUGUAUAUGGUUGGAUUUGUCUUUACUUCACAGGUUCAUCUUGUCUCCCCAAGAACAAUGAGAGUUGCCUCAAGGGGUAGAACCAUGCUUUUUGUUUUCUUUUGGAUUCAUUACAGCACAGCAAAAAGCUCAACACACAAAACACACUCAGUAAAUAUCUUUUCAACAGAAUAAAAGCCAUUCCCCA